GAAGAAUCUUGGCUGUUGAAUGUUGUGCCUUAUUCAAGGUGAAGUCUGUGGAAUCCAGAAAGCUGAAGCUGCUGGGGCCAGGAAGAAAGGGGCCCCAGCCCUUCACAUAUCCACAUGGAUAGUAAAACGGCUCCACUCCCCCGGUCCUCAGGAAAGUGCAAACUGCAACACAAUACGAAAUCACUUCUGAACACCAGUAUGGCUGAAAGAAUAAAGCAGGUGAUUCCACGUUGGUGAGAGCAUGCAGCAGCCUGAAUGGCCGUGCGUCAUUGAUGGGACAAUUUGACACAAUCACCGCAUUAGUCAUCCAGGCUGUCAAGCACCUACAAGCACCACAGGCCGGUGGGAUAAACAAUAGACAUUUAUUUCCUCACCCUUUUGGAUGCUGGAAGCCCACGUCAAGGUGUCAGCAGGAUUGACUUCUUCUGACUCCCCUCUCCUUGGCUUUUAGAUGGCUGUCUCCUCAUGUGGUCCUCCCUGUGUCUGCGUCCACAUUUCCUCUUCUUAAAAAGACAUAUUGGAUGAGAGCCCACCCUAAUGACCCUACUAACUUUAAAGAUACUGUCUCCAAAUACAAUCCCACUCAGAGGUCCUAGGGCUGAGGACUUUAACACAUGGAUUUGGGGGGAAUACAAUUGAGUUUAUAACAACCACUUUGAAAAACUACUGGGAGGAUCUGCUAAAGCUGAAAAUACCCAUAUUUUAUAAGCCAUUAGUUUUUUUUUAGGCAUAUGCUCAACAAAAGUGCACACUUACGGGUGCCUGAAGACAUUGGAAAGUGUUCACAGCAGUCCUGCUUGAGAUAAUCCCAACCUGGAAACAACAGAAAUGUCAGUCCACAGCAGAAUGAAUAAACAGUGCUGUAUUCAUACAAUGGAAUACUCUGCAGCAAUGCAAAGGAGUCAGCUAUAUCCACACAAUGCAGAACACUGCUGAAGCUCACAAAUGGAAUUUUGAAUGAAAGAAGUUAGAUGCCAAAAAUGAAAUUAUGUAUAAUUCCAUUUAUUUAAGCUUGGAAAAUAGUCCAAGCCUGAUGCAUGCUCUUGGAAGCUGGCGCAGUGGUUACUUGGGUGGGGGGUGUGCCUCAAGACUGAAAGCAGGCUCCAGGGGGCCUCUGGAAGGCGGGUCAUGUUCUGUCCCUAAUAUAGAUGUUGGUUACUAGGUGUGUUUGCUGUUUGAAAAUUUAUUGGGUCUCAGAGUGUGGUUUGCAUAAUUUUCAGUUUUGCACUGUAGUUCAAUAAAAAGUUGAUAAAGGAGAGAAUCUUUG
rnacentral:lncRNA from 1 species